UUAAGCGAAUAAGCGUACACGGUGGAUGCCCUGGCAGUCAGAGGCGAUGAAGGACGUGCUAAUCUGCGAUAAGCGUCGGUAAGGUGAUAUGAACCGUUAUAACCGGCGAUUUCCGAAUGGGGAAACCCAGUGUGAUUCGUCACACUAUCAUUAACUGAAUCCAUAGGUUAAUGAGGCGAACCGGGGGAACUGAAACAUCUAAGUACCCCGAGGAAAAGAAAUCAACCGAGAUUCCCCCAGUAGCGGCGAGCGAACGGGGAGGAGCCCAGAGCCUGAAUCAGUGUGUGUGUUAGUGGAAGCGUCUGGAAAGGCGCGCGAUACAGGGUGACAGCCCCGUACACAAAAAUGCACAUGCUGUGAGCUCGAUGAGUAGGGCGGGACACGUGGUAUCCUGUCUGAAUAUGGGGGGACCAUCCUCCAAGGCUAAAUACUCCUGACUGACCGAUAGUGAACCAGUACCGUGAGGGAAAGGCGAAAAGAACCCGGCGAGGGGAGUGAAAAAGAACCUGAAACCGUGUACGUACAAGCAGUGGGAGCACAGAGCAAUCUGUGUGACUGCGUACCUUUUGUAUAAUGGGUCAGCGACUUAUAUUCUGUAGCAAGGUUAACCGAAUAGGGGAGCCGAAGGGAAACCGAGUCUUAACUGGGCGUUAAGUUGCAGGGUAUAGACCCGAAACCCGGUGACUCUAGCCAUGGGCAGGUUGAAGGUUGGGUAACACUAAACUGGAGGACCGAACCGACUAAUGUUAGAAAAAUUAGCGGAUGACGUUGUGGCUGGGGGUGAAAGGCCAAUCAAACCGGGAGAUAGCUGGUUCUCCCCGAAAGCUAUUUAGGUAGCGCCUCGUGAAUUCAUCUCCGGGGGUAGAGCACUGUUUCGGCAAGGGGGUCAUCCCGACUUACCAACCCGAUGCAAACUGCGAAUACCGGAGAAUGUUAUCACGGGAGACACACGGCGGGUGCUAACGUCCGUCGUGAAGAGGGAAACAACCCAGACCGCCAGCUAAGGUCCCAAAGUCAUGGUUAAGUGGGAAACGAUGUGGGAAGGCCCAGACAGCCAGGAUGUUGGCUUAGAAGCAGCCAUCAUUUAAAGAAAGCGUAAUAGCUCACUGGUCGAGUCGGCCUGCGCGGAAGAUGUAACGGGGCUAAACCAUGCACCGAAGCUGCGGCAGCGACGCUGAUGCGUUGUUGGGUAGGGGAGCGUUCUGUAAGCCUGUGAAGGUGUGCUGUGAGGCAUGCUGGAGGUAUCAGAAGUGCGAAUGCUGACAUAAGUAACGAUAAAGCGGGUGAAAAGCCCGCUCGCCGGAAGACCAAGGGUUCCUGUCCAACGUUAAUCGGGGCAGGGUGAGUCGACCCCUAAGGCGAGGCCGAAAGGCGUAGUCGAUGGGAAACAGGUUAAUAUUCCUGUACUUGGUGUUACUGCGAAGGGGGGACGGAGAAGGCUAUGUUGGCCGGGCGACGGUUGUCCCGGUUUAAGCGUGUAGGCUGGUUUUCCAGGCAAAUCCGGAAAACUAAGGCUGAGGCGUGAUGACGAGGCACUACGGUGCUGAAGCAACAAAUGCCCUGCUUCCAGGAAAAGCCUCUAAGCAUCAGGUAACAUCAAAUCGUACCCCAAACCGACACAGGUGGUCAGGUAGAGAAUACCAAGGCGCUUGAGAGAACUCGGGUGAAGGAACUAGGCAAAAUGGUGCCGUAACUUCGGGAGAAGGCACGCUGAUAUGUAGGUGAAGUCCCUCGCGGAUGGAGCUGAAAUCAGUCGAAGAUACCAGCUGGCUGCAACUGUUUAUUAAAAACACAGCACUGUGCAAACACGAAAGUGGACGUAUACGGUGUGACGCCUGCCCGGUGCCGGAAGGUUAAUUGAUGGGGUCAGCGCAAGCGAAGCUCUUGAUCGAAGCCCCGGUAAACGGCGGCCGUAACUAUAACGGUCCUAAGGUAGCGAAAUUCCUUGUCGGGUAAGUUCCGACCUGCACGAAUGGCGUAAUGAUGGCCAGGCUGUCUCCACCCGAGACUCAGUGAAAUUGAACUCGCUGUGAAGAUGCAGUGUACCCGCGGCAAGACGGAAAGACCCCGUGAACCUUUACUAUAGCUUGACACUGAACAUUGAGCCUUGAUGUGUAGGAUAGGUGGGAGGCUUUGAAGUGUGGACGCCAGUCUGCAUGGAGCCGACCUUGAAAUACCACCCUUUAAUGUUUGAUGUUCUAACGUUGACCCGUAAUCCGGGUUGCGGACAGUGUCUGGUGGGUAGUUUGACUGGGGCGGUCUCCUCCUAAAGAGUAACGGAGGAGCACGAAGGUUGGCUAAUCCUGGUCGGACAUCAGGAGGUUAGUGCAAUGGCAUAAGCCAGCUUGACUGCGAGCGUGACGGCGCGAGCAGGUGCGAAAGCAGGUCAUAGUGAUCCGGUGGUUCUGAAUGGAAGGGCCAUCGCUCAACGGAUAAAAGGUACUCCGGGGAUAACAGGCUGAUACCGCCCAAGAGUUCAUAUCGACGGCGGUGUUUGGCACCUCGAUGUCGGCUCAUCACAUCCUGGGGCUGAAGUAGGUCCCAAGGGUAUGGCUGUUCGCCAUUUAAAGUGGUACGCGAGCUGGGUUUAGAACGUCGUGAGACAGUUCGGUCCCUAUCUGCCGUGGGCGCUGGAGAACUGAGGGGGGCUGCUCCUAGUACGAGAGGACCGGAGUGGACGCAUCACUGGUGUUCGGGUUGUCAUGCCAAUGGCACUGCCCGGUAGCUAAAUGCGGAAGAGAUAAGUGCUGAAAGCAUCUAAGCACGAAACUUGCCCCGAGAUGAGUUCUCCCUGACUCCUUGAGAGUCCUGAAGGAACGUUGAAGACGACGACGUUGAUAGGCCGGAUGUGUAAGCGCAGCGAUGCGUUGAGCUAACCGGUACUAAUGAACCGUGAGGCUUAACCUU
rnacentral:rRNA from 1 species